GAGGCGCCAUCUUGUAUCUGCCUGCCUUCCACGGAGAGGAGACCCCAUUUUGGGACACUUGGUAACCCACGUGUCUUUGUAUCCUCUCAGAUUGGCUGAGUCACAUUUGUUAAAUGCCAUUGUCUUCUCAGGUCUGUCCUGAACGGCUGCUUGCUUCCUCCAGCUACGGGAGGGCUCUGGUGUAGAAACGCAGGGGUUUAGAUGCAACUGUGCAGCCCAGAUGAUACUGUUAAAACUCGGCUGCGUUUGCCCACACAGCAUUCUGAGUAGCUACGCUCUGCGUCGGUGGAAAUGCUGCGCAUGGGCAGAGCAUCCUCUUAUCCACAGACUGCUGCGGCGCAGCCUUUGGGGAGCAGUAGAGCCCCUUCCUUUGGAAGCACCUCGGCAGACUCAGGGCCCGUAAGCCACGAUGUUACGCUGCGGUACCACCGGGUGCAGCGCAGAUACUCACUCCAGCGACAGGACUACCCUCACUUUGUGCUACUGCAGUGCGCUAGGGAAAUGUCGUGGGUCUGGCUAGGGCAGAGAUCUUUUUCUUCUGGCAGG
rnacentral:lncRNA from 1 species